AUGCAGGAGGGGUCGGAUCUUGUGGAGCAUGUGAAUGCUUUUAAUCAAUUGGUCACGGAUCUAGCGUGUCUGGAUGUGAAGAUUGAGGACGAGGAUAAGGCACUACUUCUUCUUGUUUCGUUGCCACCGUCCUAUGAGCAUUUGGUCAUUACAUUGACACAUGGAAAGACAAUCAUCAAUAAUGAGGAAGUCACUGCAGCGUUGCUUGGACAUGAGUUGAUGAAGCAAAAAAAAUGCUGCAGAAAGGGAGAGUACCUCAAGGUUUGGAGUUGGCAGUUAAAGGUUAUCAGCUCAGGAAGGGACAAGAGGCGGAGAAGAAAAAGAUGCAGUGCUACAGGUGCAAGGACUGGGGACAUAUAA
rnacentral:rRNA from 1 species